AGCGAACGUUUGCGGCGGGCUUAACACAUGCAAGUCGAACGGGCUGUUCCUUCGGGAGCAGUCAGUGGCGCACGGGUGCGUAACACGUAGGUAAUCAACCCUCUGGUUGGGGAUAACACUUCGAAAGGAGUGCUAACACCCGGUAUGGCGCAGCGGUCUUCGGAUCGCGGCGAGAAAGACCCGCAAGGGUUGCCAGAGGACGAGCCUGCGGCCCAUCAGCUAGUUGGCGAGGUAACGGCUCACCAAGGCGAAGACGGGUAGCUGGUCUGAGAGGAUGAUCAGCCACACUGGCACUGAGAUACGGGCCAGACUCCUACGGGAGGCAGCAGUGAGGAAUAUUGCGCAAUGGGCGAAAGCCUGACGCAGCGACGCCGCGUGGGGGAUGAAGGUUUUCGGAUUGUAAACCCCUUUCAUGAGGAAAGAUAGAGUGGGUAACCACUUAGACGGUACCUCAAGAAGAAGCCACGGCUAACUUCGUGCCAGCAGCCGCGGUAA
rnacentral:rRNA from 1 species